rfam:Candidatus Filomicrobium marinum strain Y genome assembly, chromosome: 1
AUGGGCUGGCGGCGGACGCAUCCCUCGCCAACCGGGUCAGGUCGGGAACGAAGCAGCCCUAACGAUUAGGACGCGGGUCGUCCGCCAGCCUUAAAU